rnacentral:lncRNA from 1 species
GAGUGCUGGGAAGGUGGCCCAGGUCAUGCCACUGGACUCCCCUCUGUCCCCAGGCAGCCAGUGGCCUUGUGUGACUCCUGUCCAUCAACAGCUGCGCUGGGCAUGUGAGGUACAUCUACCCCCAACUGCUCCUGGCCCUGCUCAUUCAGGUCCAUUGCCACAUCGGCCUCAAGUUGCCUGGCCAUGGGGUUCCUCACAAGGACACCAAGAACCAAGGACAGCCUCCCGCCUUCGUACCUGUGCACUGGGUGGUGAAGGCGGUGAAGACCCUGCUGCUGAAGAUAGGCUGCUCUUACGAGGCUGCAUUCGUGGAGGCUGAGGGCGGCUGGGAGCUCCUGGAGCAGGCAGAGAGCCACCACCUCGGAGUGUCACUGCUGGCAAGGGCCAUGGUGCGAUACUCCUGCCAGGACCGGUGCCGCUUCCUCUACCUUCUCAUCCCUCUCCUGGAGCACGGUGACGAGAAGCACAAGAUGACUGCCACCGCCUUCUUCAUGGAGCUCCUCCAGAUGAAGAAGGUGUGGCGGAUCCCUGAGGUAUACUCUCUGGGUCGGAUGGUGGAAGGCCUGGGCCACCAAGACCCUGUCAUGAAGGUGCUGUCCAUCCGGGGCCUGAUGAUUCUGGCCCGCAGGUCGGAGAAGAUGGCCAAGGUGCAGGCCCUGUUGCCCUCCAUGGUGAAGGCCCUGAAGAGCCUGGAUGGGGUGCUGGUGAUGGAGGCAGUCGACAGCCUCAAGACCAUCUUCAAGGGGCAGGACCGGAAGCAGAGGGACAGCUCGGUCUAUGUGGAGAUGCUGCAGGUCCUGCUGCCGCACUUCAGUGAUAAGUGUGUGAAGACCCUGUUCCACUGUUCUUGCCUUAUGGGUUGGGAGUUGCCCAAGACAGCUUUUAGCCGGAAGCCCUGGGACAACAGGCAGCAGGCAGUGGGCAAAAUCUGCAAGUACCUGGUGAGUGGUUCCUUCUGAGUAUAUUGAGGCAGGGUCCCUCCCUCCCCUUUCCUGCUUUUCACAUCAGUAUCCUGACGCAGGUUCCACUCCACAGUGGACACCUCUGAUGGCCCACAGGCACUUCAAGC